CAGCCGCCGCGGUAAUACGUAGGUCACAAGCGUUAUCCGGAAUUAUUGGGCGUAAAGGGAGCGCAGGCGGUUUAUCAAGUUUGUGGUUAAAGUUCGGGGCUUAACCCCGUGAUGCCACAGAAACUGGUAGACUAGAGUGCAGGAGAGGUGAGUGGAAUUCCAUGUGUAGCGGUAAAAUGCGUAGAUAUAUGGAGGAACACCAGUGGCGAAGGCGGCUCACUGGCCUGUUACUGACGCUGAGGCUCGAAAGCGUGGGGAGCAAAUAGGAUUAGAUACCCUAGUAGUCCACGCCGUAAACGAUGGAUACUAAGUGUUGGUGAAAAAUCAGUGCUGUAGUUAACGCAAUAAGUAUCCCGCCUGGGGAGUAUGCGCGCAAGCGUCAAACUCAAAGGAAUUGACGGGGGCCCGCACAAGCGGUGGAGUAUGUGGUUUAAUUCGAAGCAACGCGAAGAACCUUACCAGGUCUUGACAUAUAGUUAAAAAGCACAGAGAUGUGUAAUAGUUAUAGCUAUACAGGAGGUGCAUGGCC
rnacentral:rRNA from 1 species